rnacentral:rRNA from 1 species
CACGCCGUAAACGAUGAUCACUCGCUGUUAGCGAUACACAGUUAGCGGCUAAGCAAAAGCAUUAAGUGAUCCACCUGGGGAGUACGGCCGCAAGGCUGAAACUCAAAGGAAUUGACGGGGGCCCGCACAAGCGGAGGAACAUGUGGUUUAAUUCGAUGAUACGCGAGGAACCUUACCUGGGCUUAAAUGUAGAGUGCAUUCAGCUGAAAGGCUGAUUUCCUUCGGGACUCUCUGCAAGGUGC